AACAGGAUUAGAUACCCUGGUAGUCCACGCCCUAAACGAUGGAUACUCGACAUACGCGAUACACUGUGUGUGUCUGAGCGAAAGCAUUAAGUAUCCCACCUGGGAAGUACGACCGCAAGGUUGAAACUCAAAGGAAUUGGCGGGGGUCCGCACAAGUGGUGGAGCAUGUGGUUUAAUUCGAUGAUACGCGAGGAACCUUACCUGGGCUAGAAUGCAGUCUGACCGCCGGUGAAAGCUGGUUUUGUAGCAAUACACAGAUUGUAAGGUGCUGCAUGGCUGUCGUCAGCUCGUGCCGUGAGGUGUUGGGUUAAGUCCCGCAACGAGCGCAACCCCCAUCAGUAGUUGCCAUCAGGUAACGCUGGGAACUCUACUGAAACUGCCGUCGUAAGACGCGAGGAAGGAGGGGAUGAUGUCAAGUCAUCAUGGCCUUUAUGCCCAGGGCUACACACGUGCUACAAUGGGAAGGACAAAGAGCUGCCACCUGGUGACAGGGCGCUAAUCUCAAAAACCUUCUCUCAGUUCAGAUUGGAGUCUGCAACUCGACUCCAUGAAGCUGGAAUCGCUAGUAAUCGUAGAUCAGCAACGCUACGGUGAAUACGUUCCCGGACCUUGCACACACCGCCCGUCAAGCCAUGGAAGCUGGGUGUACCUAAAGUCGGUAACCGCAAGGAGCCGCCUAGGGUAAAACUAGUAACUGGGGCUAAGUCGUAACAAGGUAACC
rnacentral:rRNA from 1 species